UACGGAGGGUGCAAGCGUUAAUCGGAAUUACUGGGCGUAAAGGGUGCGUAGGUGGUUUAUUAAGUUAUCUGUAAAAUCCCCAGGCUUAACCUGGGCAGGUCAGAUAAGACUGGUAGACUCGAGUAUGGGAGAGGGUAGUGGAAUUUCCGGUGUAGCGGUGAAAUGCGUAGAGAUCGGAAGGAACACCAGUGGCGAAGGCGGCUACCUGGCCCAAUACUGACACUGAGGCACGAAAGCGUGGGGAGCAAACAGG
rnacentral:rRNA from 1 species